GCAUACUUGGCCUUAUUCGAAGGCAUCUCAUAAAAAGAAGUGGGGCUUGCAAACACCCGGGAUGUU
rnacentral:tRNA from 1 species